rnacentral:rRNA from 1 species
AACGAACGCUGGCGGCGUGCCUAACACAUGCAAGUCGAACGCCCCUUCUGGGGACUGGCUUACAGGAGAUUAACGCCCGACAGCUUACCCUUUGGUGCGGAACCCCUGAGGGAAACUGCAACUACUACCGGAUGAUGCCCUUCGGGGGAAAAAUUUAUCUCUCUCUGUUAGCGGCCCACGAUUGAUUAAGGGGUUGGGGGAGCAAUUGCUCACCGAGCCUACGAUCCAUUAGCUGGUCUGAGAGGAUGAUCGCUCACACUGGGACUGAGACUCGGCCACCACUCCUGCGUGAUCGCGACCGCGGGGAAUCAUGCACAGUGCCACAAUCCCCUGACACAGCCCUGCCGGGUGUCUUAUGAAGGGCUUAAGAUUGCUAGACUGCUCUUCCCCGCGAGAAUGAUGACGGCUCCCGGAUAAUAAACCUCCUGUUAACUUCGAGCAACCAGCCUCAGAAAUCUGAAUCGGGAGCUAGCGCUGCUCUAAAUUACUGGCCGUAGAUGGCUCCUAGGCAGACACCUUAGUCAUACGUGAGAGCCCAGCGCUCUCCCUAGUAAUUGCCUUUGAUACAGGCUGUUUUGAGAUUCGAAAAACGGAAGUGGAAUGCCGAGCGUAGAAGUGAUAUUCGUAGAUAUUCGCGGCAACACCAGUGGCGAAGGCGACUUACGGAUCCGAUACUGACGCUGAGGCGCGAAAGGAUCGGGCGCAAUCAGGUUCAGUUGUAGUGCUCGUCCUCGCUGUAAAGGAUGAGAGGUAGUAGUGGGUGCGCAUGCACAUCGGGCAGGCAGCUCACGCAUUAAUCUCUCCGCGGGAGGGCGGUCGGUCGCAUGAUACUCAUCGGAAGGAAUCGAGGGGGGCCACACACAAGCGGAGCAGCAGGUGGUUUAGUUAGAAGCGAGGAGCACAUCCUCAGCUCUUUCAUACAUGCCCGGACUCGCCGGAAGAGAUCUGUCUUUCCCCUCGGGGCAGAGGACCCAGGUGUGCCAUGUCUGUUCUCAGUUUGUGUGUGUGAGAGGUGGGGUUAAUUCCCCCAAGGAGCCCACCCCUCAUCAUUAGUCGCCCUCAUUAAGUGGGCCUCUUUAGGGGGCCUCCCGGGGCUAACCCGGAGGAAGGUGGGGAGGACUUCAAUUCUUCAGGCCCCUUUGGGGGUGGGUUCCCCCCGUGUUCCAAUGGCGGUUCCAGAGGGUUCCAGCCCAGGGAGGCUGACCUAUUCCAUAAAACUAGUCUCAGUUCGGAUUGCAGUCUGCAACUCGCGUGCAUGAAGUUGGAAUCGCUAGUAAUCGCGGAUCAGCAUGCCGCGGUGAAUACGUUCCCGGGCCU